rnacentral:rRNA from 1 species
UACGGAGGGUGCAAGCGUUGUUCGGAAUAACUGGGCGUAAAGAGCACGUAGGCGGGUUUUUAAGUCAGAUGUGAAAUCCCUGAGCUCAACUUGGGACGUGCAUUUGAAACUGGAGAUCUUGAAUGUCUAAGGGGUUGAUGGAAUUCCAGGUGUAGGAGUGAAAUCCGUAGAUAUCUGGAGGAACACCGGAGGCGAAGGCGGUCAACUGGUAGAGCAUUGACGCUGAGGUGCGAAAGCGUGGGGAGCAAACAGG